rnacentral:rRNA from 1 species
CAGCUAAUUGCGCGUCAACUUGUGAACUGCAGGACACAU